CCCCCACUUAAAGGGCCAGUGCCACACUUGCCUGUUCCCAACAAGGGCAAUGGGACCUGGCCACCUUUCCCCCCAAUACCGUUACUUCCCUUUGGACCCCCUCCCCCCACUCCCUGGCAGCUUCUUCCUGCCCCAGCCCACCAAUCUCUGCCUACCCCUCUCCCUCAUACUCUGACCCUAUUGCAGGCAGGGUCUGUCCACUGGGCACAGGAGUUUCCACCUGGGGUCGGGCAGUUCCUGCCGGGGAAGAAAGAGGGAUCCUAAGACAGGCUGGGCAGGGGUGGUGGGAGGCUUCAACAGUCACUCCCAUGAAACAUAUGUUCUCUGCGCUUCCCUUCCCCGGCCCAGUUGACCAAGAGGGUCCCAGAAAGCACAGGGCGUGAGGGCAGCUGUGGAAAGGCCCAGGGAGGCUGUGUCCAAGCCCAACUUCCCCAGCUAGGGCGUGUGAUGUGGGGGUGGGGGUGUCUUGUAAACUGGAGCUUCCACCAUUGCAGUAGGCGGAGUGGAGGCCCAGGCUUCAAGACCAAGCAGCAGGAGGCUCUGGCCAGGCCUGGGUGUGGCAGGAUAGAAAUGAAAGUUGUCCUGGCAACACACAAGAUUUCAUCAACAUUUCCAUCCCCAGCAGCUCCUGGGCCAAGCCUCAUCUUGCCCAGUGUGGCCUGUCAAGAUGACGGCCUGGAAGAGAAGCCAGACUGGGCAGCCAGGCCUCUGCCCCUCCCCUUGCCUGGUGGCACAGCCAGCACUGGCUCACUGGGAAAGCUCACAACUCCUCACAGCGAUCUGGUAUCUUGAGCGUCAGUUUCUGGCCGAAACUGGGGGCUCCUGACUGAACUCCCUCCCACCUAGAAAACCUUCUGUGCAGUCUGAUUGCUCCAACACCCACAGAGCAGGAUUCAGGUAUCCCGGAGACCUUGGGAGGUCCCCAUCCAGAGGUCUGCUGUCCUGC
rnacentral:lncRNA from 1 species